GACCCGUCUUGAAACACGGAUUGAUGCUUUUUUGAUCAAAGGCGCAGCAAGUCUAUCUUGCGCGCAGCCCAAUGGGUAGCGGGGCGGCUUGCCGUCCAGCAAACUGGUAACACCCACAGGCGAAGACAAAUCGAGUUGCGGGAUUACGGGUUCGGCCGAUGGCGCAAGCCUUCGUCGGGCCCCUCCAUCCCAGGGUGUCCCGGUACGGGUGCUUGCACCCAGCGGACAUCCCCGGAGUGCGUAUGAUGUGACCCGAAAGAUGGUGAACUAUGCCUGAUCAGGUCGAAGUCAGGGGAAACCCUGAUGGAGGACCGAAGCAAUUCUGACGUGCAAAUCGAUUGUCAGAGUUGGGCAUAGGGGCGAAAGACCAAUCGAACCAUCUAGUAGCUGGUUCCUUCCGA
rnacentral:rRNA from 1 species